GACAGAGGAUGCAAGCGUUAUCCGGAAUUAUUGGGCGUAAAGCGUCCGUAGGUGGCCUAUCAAGUCUGCUGUUAAACCCCAGGGCUCAACUCUGGAUCAGCAGUGGAAACUGAUAGGCUAGAGUGCGGUAGGGGCAGAGGGAAUUCCCGGUGUAGCGGUGAAAUGCGUAGAUAUCGGGAAGAACACCAGUGGCGAAGGCGCGCUGCUGGGCCGUAACUGACACUCAUGGACGAAAGCUAGGGGAGCGAAAGGG
rnacentral:rRNA from 1 species